GCCGCCUCCAGAAUCGCGAAAUACACCGCCGGAUCCUCGAUCACGUACUUCAGCGGCCGGAUCCCGGCAUCCCUCACCAGCGCCGUCAGCUGCCGCAUGCACAACUCCCGGUGCUCCGCCGUCGAGAUCUCCACCGGCGUGAUCAGAUCCGGCCGCGACCGGAAGAACUCGAACACCCGAUCCUGCACCUCCCGGUGCCGCCCCCUCAUGUACUCCGA
rnacentral:misc_RNA from 1 species